CUAAUUUACACAAAGAAAAGAUACACCGACCUUUAAUUGCAAAUUCAAUAUUCUGAACCACCAUUUACAAUCUUCUGCAUUUCUCCUUUCCCUGUAAUUCGAUCAAUUUAUGCUUUUAUAGCCUUCUUCCAUGGCAGGAAGCCGUUUUACGUACAUUCUCCGUCGUUAUUCAUCCAAGCAUACCAUUUCUCAGGUUAGGGUUUUACAUUCCAACCCUUCUUUUCAAUUUUACAAUUAUUCUCGUCCAGUUUAUCGAAAUUUUCUGUCUUUGAAUUCAAAUUCCUUUAGAGAUUCGUCGCUACCUUUUCUUUCACGCUUCAAUUUUAAUGGGGCUAAGUUUUUUUCUACCUCCAAUAAAAUUGAUGUAAUUGAGGGAAAAGAUGAUAAAAUUGUAGAUAAAAAUGAUUUAGUUGCUGAGUUAGUUGAUUCGAACUCUGUUAAUAACUCGGUGGAUCGUGAAUUGAAUUCCUCUACAAAACAUAAGGAAUUUGAGCAUGUUGCUUCUCUUGAUCCUGUAGAAAUUUAUACGCAACUUUGCGAGUCUCCGAGGGAUGGUAAUCUAUCUAGGCAAGAUUGGGAUUUGUUGAAUGAUAUAUUUGGGCAUUUUUCACGUUCUGCUUGGGCAUCAAAUCAAGCUUUGGCUAUAUAUAUCGGUGCUUCAUUUUUCCCAGUUGCAGCGAAUAAAUUUAGGGAUUUUUUCUUGGAUCAUUCUCAGAAUGAUGUUGCUAAAUACUUGCUUUCUUUUGGACCUGGUGAUGAAGCAGUUAAGUUUUUGUUUCCAGUGUUUGUUGAAUUUUGUCUGUUAGAAUUUUCUGAUGAGAUUAAGAAGUUUCGUAGUUUGGUUGAGUUUGCUGAUCUUACUAAACCUCACACUUGGUUCCCCUUUGCAAGGGCUAUGAAACGUAAGAUAGUUUAUCACUGUGGGCCUACUAAUUGUGGGAAGACGUACAAUGCUUUACAACGGUUUAUGGAAGCAAAGAAAGGGAUAUAUUGUAGUCCUCUUAGGUUGUUAGCAAUGGAGGUUUUUGAUAAGGUUAAUACUCUUGGUAUUUAUUGUAGUCUUAUUACAGGACAAGAGAAGAAGAUGUUGCCCUUUUCAAAUCAUAUUGCUUGCACAGUUGAAAUGGUAUCCACUAGUGAAUUGUAUGAUGUAGCUGUUAUUGAUGAGAUACAAAUGAUGGCUGACCCUUCUAGAGGUUUUGCAUGGACUAGGGCAUUGCUUGGAUUAAUGGCCGAUGAAAUUCAUGUAUGUGGAGAUCCAAGUGUGUUAAAUAUUGUGCGUAAGAUAUGUUCAGAUACAGGAGAUGAGUUAGUGGAACAUCACUAUAAUAGGUUUAAACCAUUGGUAGUAGAGGCGAAGACAUUGCUUGGGGAUUUAAAAAAUGUUAAGUCUGGUGACUGUAUUGUGGCAUUCUCCAGGAGGGAGAUUUUUGAGGUCAAAUUGGCUAUUGAAAAACAAACCAAGCAUCGUUGUUGUGUUAUUUAUGGUGCUUUGCCACCGGAGACUCGCAGGCAGCAAGCUACAUUGUUUAAUGACCAAGAUAACGAGUACGAUGUCUUGGUUGCCAGUGAUGCUGUUGGGAUGGGCUUGAAUCUCAACAUAAGAAGGGUAAUUUUCUACUCUCUUUCAAAGUACAACGGGGACAAGAUUGUUCCUAUUCCACCCUCACAGGUGAAACAAAUUGCAGGUAGGGCUGGUAGGCGAGGAAGUCGCUAUCCAGAUGGUAUUAGCACUACUAUGCAUUUAGAAGAUCUAGCUUAUCUAGUUGAGUGUCUCAAACAACCUUUUGAGGAAGUCAAGAAAGUUGGGCUUUUUCCAUUUUACGAGCAAGUUGAACUGUUUGCUGGACACCUGCCUAACAUGACUUUUUCUCAACUUCUUGAUAAGUUUUCUGAAAAUUGUCGCCUUGAUGGAUCAUACUUUUUGUGUCAACAAAGUGGUAUAAAAAAGGUUGCUAAUAUGUUGGAAAAGGUUCAGGGUUUGUCACUGGAAGAUCGUUAUAAUUUUUGCUGUGCUCCUGUUAACAUUAGGGACCCGAAGGCUAUGUACCAUCUCCUUCAGUUUGCUGCAUCUUACAGUAGAAAGCAUCCUGCUAAUAUAGCUAUGGGCUUUCCUAAAGGCUCAGCUAGAAAUGAUGCAGAACUAUUGGAUCUUGAGACUAAGCAUCAAGUUUGUUCCAUGUAUAUGUGGUUGUCAAAUCAUUUCAAAGAGAAGAAUUUUCCGUAUAAGCAAAGGGCAGAAUCUAUGGCUUCGAGUAUUGCUGAACUGUUGGGAGAAUCAUUAACUAAAGUAUGCUGGAAACCAACAACUAAAGAAGAUCUUAAGAAAAAGUUUGAACAGAAGAAUGGCUAUGAUAGACCACAAUCACUUAUCAAAAUUUAUGACAAGUUGAAGCGUAAUAACUCCUUUGAACAAGAUAAAUCUGAUUGCAGUAAAAAGGUGGCUACAUAGUUUACUAGGAUCCGAGGAAGCGAAGGAAAAUUUUGGUCCAGAAGUUUCACCCAGGAAGAAAGGAGUUUAAGCUCUUCUGAAGUUCAUCUUGACACGUCUGAUAUUUCCUUAUGUUCAGCCUCCAUUAAUAAAUCCCUGGUGCUCAGCGAUUUCUGAGCACGAGAUGUUUUUCCCUUUAGAAGGUGAUAUGAUGAGUUUCUCGGUGGUGUGAGUGAAAUACGCGUGGAACUUGAAUGAAUCGAAGCUGAGUUCCAAAUUGUAUAAUAAGCUCAUUAUAGAACGUGGUUCAGCAAUCAAGGAGCUAUGUAGAUAGCUUUACUUAUAAUCAUCCAUUCUAUGCAAUACUGCCGGAAUUAUCAAUUUCAGCAAGUGCAAUGUCCGUGGUUCAUUAUACACUGCACUAAAACAAUUGCACGUGUUUUGGAUAUGUUCGCUGAGGAACAAAACGCUGUCUGGAGAUCUCUUUGCUUCUCCAAUUUUCAAUCUGCCUAUUAGCUAUCACUUAUCAGUGAUGGUGGAAGAAUCAUACACUAUUUAUGGAGUAGUAAUAUCAGUACUAGGUUUCAGAAAAAAAUUCUUUUUUCUUUUUUCUUGCUUGUUUGUUGAUCAGAAGGUUACAGAAAUCGUUGAAUUUUCGCUAUCAUGAACUUUGUAUUCAAAUUUUGUCGACAUUCACAAGUUGAUCAAUCAAACGAAACUGUACACCAUGUCGAUUUUGGUGAUCUUGGCAAUUUGUUUGGUGUUGUUGUGAAAUGAAUAAUGUGCUCAUAGCUGUGGUAGCUAGGAUUGGAUUGUGUUUGAAGGAUGCAUCAUCUGAGCAGGCAACUAGUGAUUCAACUUCAAACUUCUAUUGUAAUCCUUGUAAUUGUAAAUAUGCUGUCUGGCAAAUUGUUUCUCAAAAUAAUGCCCUAACUAUACUUGGUUUUUCAAGAUACUUUUGCAUAAAUUUUAGGGAUAUUUUACAUUGUAGCAACAAAUUUUUGUGAAAGAUCAGCGGUAGAAAAUCUAAAAAAAAGUCCACAAACUAGUAUUG